ACACAUUACAAUGUGAGGUUUUAUUUCACAUGUGUAUCAGAGGGAGAUCAGGAGUAUGAUGAUGUGAAGAACAGCAAUGAAGAUGAGAGAAACCUGUUAGAUUAUGAUGAUGUCAUCACCACUGAACACAACUCUGAUAUUAAAGUGGACACUCCAGAGCAUUAUGAUGAUGUCAUCAUUAAUGGACAGGACUCUCAAGAUGUAACAGAGGGAGAUCAGGAGGAGUAUGAUGAUGUGAAGCACAG